GGGGGGGGGGGGGGGGGGGCGGGGCGGGGGCGGGGGGGGGGGGGGGGCCCGGCGGUGGUGGGGGGCUCGAGUGGCGAGCGGGUGAGUAGCACGUGGGUAACCUGCCCUUGACUGUGGGAUAACUUCAGGAGACUGGGGCUAAUACCGGCUAGGAGCUCCUGCUGCAUGGUGGGGGUUGGAGAGUUUCGUCGGUUGGGGCUGGACUCGCGGCUUAUCAGCUUGUUGGUGGGGUAGUGGCUUACCAAGGCUUUGACGGGUAGCCGGCCUGAGAGGGUGACCGGCCACAUUGGGACUGAGAUACGGCCCAGACUCCUACGGGAGGCAGCAGUGGGGAAUAUUGCACAAUGGGCGGAAGCCUGAUGCAGCAACGCCGCGUGCGGGAUGACGGCCUUCGGGUUGUAAACCGCUUUCGCCUGUGACGAAGCGUGAGUGACGGUAAUGGGUAAAGAAGCACCGGCUAACUACGUG
rnacentral:rRNA from 1 species